ensembl:lncRNA novel transcript, antisense to TSPO
GUACUCCCUGCUUAAAGGGACACCAGGCUCUGUGGCUCAUGGCCCAGACAUCACCUCCUGAGUCAGGCACUGCCAGGUGAGAGGCUCAGCUGCGUCUCUCGGGGGCCUUAAAGCUUCUUUUUUUGGAAAGUGGCUUUUAUGGUCGGGCCACGGUAUAAUUUGCCCUGCCCAGUGAGGGCAGCUGCUGAGGAAUGCAGGGGAGGAAGAACCUGAGACAGCGCCACGUUCCUGGUAAUAUAGUCCCAUGAUCCCACACAAAGAAGAUUCCUGGCCGGGCACAAUGGCUCACACCUCUAAUGCCAGCACUUUGGGAGGCCGAGGAGGGAAGAUCACUUGAGCUCAAGAGUUCGAGACCAGCGUGGGCAACAUAGUGAGACACCAUUCCUACAAAAAUAAAAAAUAAAAAAAUUAGCCGGG